AAGGGAGACCUAAUUCAGGUAGGAGACGAAAAAAAAGUAGUCCCUACCAAGAAUCAAUCCCAAAAGGUCGGAGCGAGGCAAAAUUGGCUUUCAAACUAGGUUCUGGGUUCACACAAGACCUGAAUCAGGAACAAGGGCUAUUAGCUCAGGUGGUUAGAGCGCACCCCUGAUAAGGGUGAGGUCCCUGGUUCGAGUCCAGGAUGGCCCACCUGUACAGGUGGCAAAAAGAAAGAAAAGAAGCGAGGAAUCAGCACCUUAUCUUACUUAUAUAGUAAGAGAGAAUGCUGGCUCUGAGUUCAGAGUCCAGAGGAACCUUGAAAACUGCAUAGAGCUAGGUGAAAAAGCCAAAAAAGAAGACCACAA
rnacentral:tRNA from 2 species